rnacentral:rRNA from 1 species
UACGGGGGGGGCAAGCGUUGUUCGGAAUUACUGGGCGUAAAGGGUUCGUAGGUGGCCGGCUAAGUCAGACGUGAAAUCCCUCAGCUCAACUGGGGAACUGCGUCUGAGACUGGUCGGCUUGAGUGCAGGAGAGGAACGCGGAAUUCCAGGUGUAGCGGUGAAAUGCGUAGAUAUCUGGAGGAACACCGGUGGCGAAGGCGGCGUUCUGGACUGCUACUGACACUGAGGAACGAAAGCCAGGGGAGCAAACGGG